GUCGGACGGACUAAUUGGAGCAAGCCCCAAUUAGUUAGUGGCAGACGGGUGAGUAACACGUGGGAAUCUGCCUAUCAGUACGGAAUAACUUUUAGAAAUAAAAGCUAAUACCGUAUAUUCUCUACGGAGGAAAGAUUUAUCGCUGAUAGAUGAGCCCGCGUCAGAUUAGGUAGUUGGUGAGGUAACGGCUCACCAAGCCGACGAUCUGUAGCUGGUCUGAGAGGAUGAUCAGCCACACUGGGACUGAGACACGGCCCAGACUCCUACGGGAGGCAGCAGUGGGGAAUAUUGGACAAUGGGCGAAAGCCUGAUCCAGCAAUACCGAGUGAGUGAUGAAGGCCUUAGGGUUGUAAAGCUCUUUUAGCAAGGAAGAUAAUGACGUUAAAC
rnacentral:rRNA from 1 species